AUUAUUAAUUGUAUUAUGGAGGAGGACUCAAGCUCACCUUCGAGGGAUCCAGAAACAGAUAUAUUCGGUUUUAAAAGGUCUUUAAGAACCGCAAGCAAAGCAGCUCAACAUUAAUGCUGCAGAACCUAUGGGAAAACGGAAAGCCAUUAGAGGAACCAAGAAGAAUACGUCUAAACUUUCUUGAGGAAAUCUAGCUUCAUAUAUGCCUGAAUAGGUAAACACGAAUGCACGAAAAUACUAUCCAAAAUAAUGUCAUUAUGCAAGAGUUCUAUAAGCGUCAGUUCCGCCGUCGAAAUCUUUUACGUCAAUUGGAUUCACACUUUGAAGUUUCUUAUGGAGACGCUUAAAAUCGUUCAGUUUUCAGGUAUUUAUGCAUUGUCAAGCAAAUAAUAAAAAAAUAAAUAAAAUUAAUUCCAAAAGUCAAAGAAGUAUGUAGAUUUCUGAUUGAAUUUAACUUUUCUAUUUGUCUUUUUCAAUUAUUUUAUUAAUUUGAAAUAAGUAAAGUAUCCAUGGACUACCGAGUUAACAGAAGUGCAUACAAAAUAAUUAAUUUCAAUGGCCCGAACUGUUUGGAGCACUCUUUCAAUCGUUUUGAUAAGAUGCCUCGAAACUUGAAUUCAAGUUUCUAGCGAACUCCUCAGUUAAUUAAAAUUAACUUUUCUCAAAUGAAACAAGAUAAUGGUGCCUAAUGCAUACAGAGUUUCUAAGUUUAUUUAAGCAAGAUGUAAACUUGAGGUUGGUGCCGAUUUAGAGAUGGAAUAAGAUGCAAUAAUAUAGUAUGUGACGCCCCACCAACUCCCUGCCAGCUCCCCGACCAUUUAAGAACUUGGCCAAAACCAGUUGGAGAUCACGUAAGAAGCGACCGAGAACGACCCACGUCAAAAAGAAAGAAAAAAAGGGACACGGCCGCAAUAAAUGCAAUUGGGAAGACAUGGCAGUCAGUUGGUCGAUGGGGAUCCUAUAGGAUCCUAUAUGGAGGAUAGGAUAUGUGCCGUCUGUCACUCCUGACUGAAUGGAUGCGCGUCGAGUGCGCCGGGUCCAUGACAACCUGCAAUCAAGCGCCAGCAGGCAUAUCCAACGGAUUGGACCACAAAAUCAAUACACCGAAAAAAAAUUGAGUGUAAAGCGAGUUCUAUGGAGUUUUUCCUCAACUCAGAACCCCGAGAUAUCUCAAGAUCAGAUCUUCAUCUCUUACAAUUGGUUUUUUCUGUGCAUCAUCAUCAUCAUCAUCAGCUGCAUGCAACCGAGCGCGUAGGCCAGGCAACAUUCAAGCAAUGAGCAGACCUGCAACAUGCAACAGACAGCGAACACAACUGCAACAAUGCUGCGACAUUUGCACGGGCUUUAACUUAAAUUAUGCGCCAAACAAAUAAGGUCUCGCCCAGUACCAACUCUGGAGACCCAGCCCCAUAAUGAUGCCAUGAGGCCAUCUGCAAGUUCUCUUACUGUUACAACACGCAACAAAAAUA